rnacentral:rRNA from 1 species
CGAAAGCCUGACGGAGCAAUACCGCGUGAGGGAGGAAGGCUUUUGGGCUGUAAACCUCUUUUCUCAAGGAAGAAGACCUGACGGUACUUGAGGAAUAAGCCACGGCUAAUUCCGUGCCAGCAGCCGCGGUAAUACGGGAGUGGCAAGCGUUAUCCGGAAUCAUUGGGCGUAAAGCGUCCGCAGGUGGCUGUUCAAGUCUGCUGUCAAAGACAGAAGCUUAACUUCUGAAAGGCAGUGGAAACUGGAGAGCUAGAGUACGGUAGGGGUUGAGGGAAUUCCCAGUGUAGCGGUGAAAUGCGUAGAUAUUGGGAAGAACACCAGUGGCGAAGGCGCUCAACUGGGCCGUAACUGACACUCAGGGACGAAAGCUAGGGGAGCG